ACAUCAAUGAUAAUAAAAAAAAUCUUCUAAUUGUCCUUAUACUUUCUUUUUUGUAUUCAAUAUCCAACAAUAAGAUUAAAGUUUAUGCAUCAAAUAACAUCCAAAGUUCUUGUGGAGAGAUUUGAAGAUUAAGAUUAGAGGGGAGAUUGUCGGUUUCUUUUAACAUAUGUUUUUUUCAGUUUCGAUUUUGAUGCUGUGUUCCAGUUUGGCCGGAUGGAAUAUCACUGGAUAAGCCUACUAAAAAAUGAGGUGGUGCAGGUUACAUAUUACUCUACCAGUUUUCAAGAGUUGUUGGAAUUGCAAGUUACUUUUGAGGUUUCGUAUGGCAUCAUUGAUUUUGGUUCAAGCUUAUUUUUAUAACGCGACAAACUGAGUGCUAUUGUUUAAAAGCAACUGGCUAUUAUUGUGAUUUGCCAAAGUUUCGAGAGGACAUAUAUAACAAAUGGAAGCAAAACUGGUGAACCUCACAAAGGUAUCUAGAAGAGCGUAUGAACUUGCAAUCAGUUCGUCUUGCUUGACUUAAAAGGGUUAAAGUGCUUGCUUGCUCGACUUAUUAACGUGUUGUAAUGAUUUAUUAGUUGGAUAGUUUAGCUCAAAUAUGAAACUGUGGGACAUAAAAGAUUGUAAUUGGUUUAAGUGUAUUCAAACAUAGAAUAUUUUUUUAUAUUUUUCUAAUAAUGCCCGGGUGAUCACCCGAGUUGAUUAGCUAUUACUUGGAAAAUAGAAGGGUUCUGUUCGGUUA